UCCCGAAUCUGUAGUAGGCAAGCGUAUUAACAGGGGUGACGCAGGAAGGUAGCCGAGCGUGGCGAUGGUUGUCCACGUUUAAGGGUGUAGGGCGAGCUGUAGGCAAAUCCGCAGCUCACAUAGCCUGAGACCUGAUGAUGACCUCUUAAGAGGGAAAUCGGUGAUCCUAUGCUGCCAAGAAAAACCUCGGCGCGAGGUUCUAGCCGCCCGUACCCCAAACCGACUCAGGUGGUCAGGUAGAGAAUACUAAGGCGAUCGAGUGAAUCGUGGUUAAGGAACUCGGCAAAAUGCCCCCGUAACUUCGGGAGAAGGGGGGCCUGAGGCGUGACGGAAUUUACUUCCAGAGCGUUUGAGGGCCGCAGAGACCAGAGAGAAGCGACUGUUUACUAAAAACACAGGUCCGUGCGAAGUCGCAAGACGAUGUAUACGGACUGACGCCUGCCCGGUGCUGGAAGGUUAAGAGGAAGGGUCAGCCAUUAGGCGAAGCUCUGAAUUUAAGCCCCAGUAAACGGCGGUGGUAACUAUAACCAUCCUAAGGUAGCGAAAUUCCUUGUCGGGUAAGUUCCGACCUGCACGAAUGGCGUAACGACUUCUCUGCUGUCUCAACCGCGAACUCGGCGAAAUUGCAUUACGAGUAAAGAUGCUCGUUACGCGCAGCAGGACGGAAAGACCCCCGGGACCUUUACUAUAGCUUGGUAUUGGUAUUCGGUGUGGUCUGUGUAGGAUAGGUGGGAGACUUUGAAGCCGAUACGCCAGUAUUGGUGGAGUCAUCGUUGAAAUACCACUCUGAUCACUCUGGAUAUCUAACCUCGGUCCGUAAUCCGGAUCAGGGACAGUGCCUGGUGGGUAGUUUAACUGGGGCGGUUGCCUCCCAAAAAGUAACGGAGGCGCCCAAAGGUUCCCUCAGCCUGGUUGGCAAUCAGGUGGCGAGUGCAAGUGCACAAGGGAGCUUGACUGUGAGACUGACAGGUCGAGCAGGGACGAAAGUCGGGACUAGUGACCCGCUGGUGGCAAGUGGAAGCGCCAGCGCUCAACGGAUAAAAGGUACCCCGGGGAUAACAGGCUGAUCCUGCCCAAGAGUCCAUAUCGACGGCAUGGUUUGGCACCUCGAUGUCGGCUCGUCGCAUCCUGGGGCUGGAGUUGGUCCCAAGGGUUGGGCUGUUCGCCCAUUAAAGCGGUACGCGAGCUGGGUUUAGAACGUCGUGAGACAGUUCGGUCCCUAUCCGCUGCGCGCGCAGGAAAUUUGAGAAAGGCUGCCCCUAGUACGAGAGGACCGGGGUGGACUAACCUCUGGUGUGCCAGUUGUUCCGCCAGGAGCACGGCUGGUUGGCUACGUUGGGAAGGGAUAACCGCUGAAAGCAUCUAAGCGGGAAGCCUGUUUCAAGAUGAGAUUUCCACGGGCUUCGGCCCGAGAGGCCCCAGGUAGACCACCUGGUUGAUAGGCCGGAUGUGGAAGAGGGGACUAAAGACCCUUGAAGCUGACCGGUACUAAUAGGCCGAUAACUUGAC
rnacentral:rRNA from 1 species